AUUUCUCGAACCUCUUUACCAUUCCAGAGUCUACGCCGUCUAUCUGCAAUUGCACGCACACGGCACCUGAAAAAUUAGCCUGCAGAGCAUCGCAUAUCCUCGUAUUUUAUUAUGCAAGGAACCUUCUUCAUAGCCUUAUUGGGUGAGAUCCUCAAGAUUGGAACUCUGAACACUAGCACAGAACAUUGCAUCUUCAUAGCAUCAAGAAAUUUUCCAAGCAUAUACUGUAAAUGAAUCCAUAGACCCCAAUUAUCCAAUGGAAGCCAAAAGGGAGUCAUCUGUUUGGGUGGUUAAUUUUGGAGUUUGCUCUUUACUCUAUGUCAUAGGUAUACAUCAGGAAAUUCCCCAAACAUAUACGGUACCUUUGAUGGCCACUGCGAGAUGCAGUUUGAAAAGAGCCUUAAAAACUUUUUUUUUAUGUUAGAAACAUUAUAGGCUACGGCAAGCUAAUUGUCAGUCAUAUAGAAUACAUUAAGGUUAUAAGUCAGGCAAAAAUGUGGCUGUAAUAUGCUCAUCUAAAACUGGUCUUAGGAAAGUGACACAAUACAUUUGUUUAAGAAAGUCAUAGAACCAAUUUUUUUUAUGUGCUUUAAUAUGUGAGAUGUGGCAAUUAUACUCAUUUUCUUAGCCAUGUUUCUUGUGGAAAGUCAAACCUUAGAAAAGCCCCUAUUAACAUCAGUGGACAUCCAUACCUUAAAGUGGUAUUCUCACUGCACAGGAUAGGGGAUAACCAGCCAGUGGAUCAGUAGACAUCCAACCACUGUGACCCCCUGCCUAUCCUGAAAAUGGAGGGUAAACGUCCUCCAAAUUAAUCGAGCCGCAGUGCACAUGCUCUCCUUGUAUUUUUGCAGCUGGCUGGGUAUGCACCUUGUGGGCACAAUUCUCUUCUGUUCCCUGGAUCACUUGUGUUCCCAAUGGUUGAACCUUCAAUGAUUUGCUAAAUAUCCCCAAACCUGUGCAUAGGGGAUAACUUUACAAAAUGAGAAUACCCCUUUAUGGUCUAUUCCCAUGUACAGUAUUCUAUGCUGAUUUGGUUUGCAGGUUUUUCUGCUGCAGAUUUCAAUGUAAACCGA